CUCUCCUACGGGACGCAGCAGUGGGGAAUAUUGCGCAAUGGGGGAAACCCUGACGCAGCAACGCCGCGUGCGGGAUGAAGGCCUUCGGGUUGUAAACCGCUUUCAGCAGGGAAGAUCCAAGACGGUACCUGCAGAAGAAGCCCCGGCUAACUACGUGCAAGCAGCCGCGGUAAUACGUAGGGGGCAAGCGUUAUCCGGAUUCAUUGGGCGUAAAGCGCGCGCAGGCGGGUUGUUAAGUGGGA
rnacentral:rRNA from 1 species